UUUGAAUAAAGUUUGCUGAAA
ensembl:piRNA 21ur-11898 ncRNA